CUACGUGCCAGCAGCCGCGGUAAUACGUAGGGUGCAAGCGUUAUCCGGAAUUAUUGGGCGUAAAGGGCUCGUAGGCGGUUCGUCGCGUCCGGUGUGAAAGUCCAUCGCUUAACGGUGGAUCCGCGCCGGGUACGGGCGGGCUUGAGUGCGGUAGGGGAGACUGGAAUUCCCGGUGUAACGGUGGAAUGUGUAGAUAUCGGGAAGAACACCAAUGGCGAAGGCAGGUCUCUGGGCCGUCACUGACGCUGAGGAGCGAAAGCGUGGGGAGCAAACAGGAUUAGAUACCCUGGUAGUCCACGCCGUAAACGGUGGAUGCUGGAUGUGGGGACCAUUCCACGGUCUCCGUGUCGGAGCCAACGCGUUAAGCAUCCCGCCUGGGGAGUACGGCCGCAAGGCUAAAACUCAAAGAAAUUGACGGGGGCCCGCACAAGCGGCGGAGCAUGCGGAUUAAUUCGAUGCAACGCGAAGAACCUUACCUGGGCUUGACAUGUUCCCGACGGUCGUAGAGAUGCGGCUUCCCUUCGGGGCGGGUUCACAGGUGGUGCAUGGUCGUCGUCAGCUCGUGUCGUGAGAUGUUGGGUUAAGUCCCGCAACGAGCGCAACCCUCGCCCUGUGUUGCCAGCACGUCGUGGUGGGAACUCACGGGGGACCGCCGGGGUCAACUCGGAGGAAGGUGGGGAUGACGUCAGAUCAUCAUGCCCCUUACGUCCAGGGCUUCACGCAUGCUACAAUGGCCGGUACAACGGGAUGCGACGCGGCGACGCGGAGCGGAUCCCUGAAAACCGGUCUCAGUUCGGAUCGCAGUCUGCAACUCGACUGCGUGAAGGCGGAGUCGCUAGUAAUCGCGAAUCAGCAACGUCGCGGUGAAUGCGUUCCCGGGCCUUGUACACACCGCCCGUCAAGUCAUGAAAGUGGGCAGCACCCGAAGCCGGUGGCCUAACCCCUUGUGGGAUGGAGCCGUCUAAGGUGAGGCUCGUGAUUGGGACUAAGUCGUAACAAGGUAGCCGUACCGGAAGGUGCGGCUG
rnacentral:rRNA from 1 species